rnacentral:rRNA from 1 species
GCGUGAGUGAAGAAGGCCUUCGGGUUGUAAACCUCUUUCGCCGGUGAAGAUAAUGACGGUAGCCGGAGAAGAAGCCCCGGCUAACUCCGUGCCAGCAGCCGCGGUAAUACGGAGGGGGCUAGCGUUGUUCGGAAUUACUGGGCGUAAAGCGCGCGUAGGCGGCGCGGCAAGUUGGGCGUGAAAGCCCGGGGCUCAACCCCGGAUGUGCGCCCGAGACUGCCGUGCUGGAGGCCGAGAGAGGGUGGCGGAAUUCCCAGUGUAGAGGUGAAAUUCGU